CUCGAUAUGUAUGUUUCAUGAAAAUCAUGCAAAAGAAACUAUUGCUUUCCCAGAGCCUGGUACUAUUUUCUGCAGAGACUGGGGGCUUUUCCUUCAUUCGUCCUACAUUUGGUAAGGAGUGUCAUCCAUUUUUGCCACUUGAAAAUAGGAUGCUACUCAUCUCUGGUUUUUGCUAAUCAUGAGCACGCACCAGUGCCAAGGCCAGCAGGCAGGGUGCUUUCACAAAUGAUGGAGAGUAAACUGCUGUCAACUGAGAGCAAUUCUGGUGGCUCUUGGACAACUCGCUACACCCCCAAAUCAUCCCAGGAGGGGCAGCUGAAAGAAGAGUGCCGCUGGCUGUAUGAAUUACCCUAACAGCUAUCCACAACUUUCCAACCUUUUAAGAUUCCUUACUCACAGAUAUAAGGGCAUGUGUGGAAAUGCAGAAUUUUUUAAUGUGGACCUUUCAGUAUAACGUGAUUGGAAAGAAGAUACGCAAAAUCCAAGGAAUACAAAGAUCUGACACUACAAUAAAUGCUAAACUGGUCAGUUGUGAUACA
rnacentral:lncRNA from 1 species